CCUACGGGGGGCAGCAGUGAGGAAUAUUGGUCAAUGGCCGGAAGGCUGAACCAGCCAAGCCGCGUGAAGGACGAAGGUGCCAAGCAUUGUAAACUUCUUUUGUCAAGGGACAAAAUCAGGCGCGAGAGCCGGACCGAGGGUACGUGAAGAAAAAGCAUCGGCUAACUCCGUGCCAGCAGCCGCGGUAAUACGGAGGAUGCGAGCGUUAUCCGGAUUUAUGGGGUUGAAAGGGGGCGUCGGCGGACUGUUAAGGAAGCGGUAAAAGCCCGGGGCUCAACCCCGGCGAGCCGUUGAAACUGGCUGUCUUGAGCUGUCGCGCGGUAUGCGGCCUGCGCCGUGUAGCGG
rnacentral:rRNA from 1 species